rnacentral:tRNA from 1 species
GUCCCUGUAGCGCAAUGGAUAGCGUGUUGGACUUCUAAUCCAAAGGUCGUGGGUUCGAAUCCCAUUUAAGAUG